rnacentral:rRNA from 1 species
UGGGGAAUAUUGGACAAUGGGCGCAAGCCUGAUCCAGCCAUGCCGCGUGAGUGAUGAAGGCCUUAGGGUUGUAAAGCUCUUUUAGCAGGGAAGAUAAUGACGGUACCUGCAGAAAAAGCCCCGGCUAACUUCGUGCCAGCAGCCGCGGUAAUACGAAGGGGGCUAGCGUUGCUCGGAAUUACUGGGCGUAAAGCGCACGUAGGCGGACUCUUAAGUCGGUGGUGAAAUCCUGGAGCUCAACUCCGGAACUGCCUUCGAUACUGGGAGUCUUGAGUUCGGGAGAGGUGAGUGGAACUGCGAGUGUAGAGGUGAAAUUCGUAGAUAUUCGCAAGAACACCAGUGGCGAAGGCGGCUCACUGGCCCGAUACUGACGCUGAGGUGCGAAAGCGUGGGGAGCAAAC